rnacentral:rRNA from 1 species
GACGAACGCUGGCGGCGUGCUUAACACAUGCAAGUCGAACGAUGAACCCGGAGCUUGCUCCGGUGGAUUAGUGGCGAACGGGUGAGUAACACGUGAGUAACCUGCCCUUGACUCUGGGAUAACUGCGGGAAACUGUAGCUAAUACCGGAUACGACCCUCGGCGGCAUCGCCAGGGGGUGGAAAGAAUUUCGGUCAAGGAUGGACUCGCGGCCUAUCAGCUAGUUGGUGAGGUAACGGCGCACCAAGGCGACGACGGGUCGCCGGCCUGAGAGGGUGCCCGGCCACACUGGGACUGAGAAACGGCCCAGACGCCUACGGGAGGCAGCAGUGGGGAAUAUUGCACAAUGGGCGCAAGCCUGAAGCAGCAACGCAGCGUGAGGGAUGACGGCCUUCGGGUUGUAAACCUCCUUUAGUAGGGAAGAAGCGAAAGUGACGGUACCUGCAGAAGAAGCCCCGGCUAACUUCAUGCCAGCCGCCGCAGUAA